GCCUCGGUGGUGUAGUGGUAGAGCACGUUUCUGCGGAUAGGAUAAAACACGGGUUCGAUUCUCGCCUGAGGCA